rfam:Brachypodium distachyon strain Bd21 chromosome 4, whole genome shotgun sequence.
UUACUACUUCCUCCGUCCCAUAUUAAGUGACUCAAAUUUGUCCAAAACAUGCAUGUAUCUAUGCUUAAAAAGCAUCUAGAUACAUGUAAUAGAAAGUCACUUAAUAUAGGACGGAGGGAGUCUUUA